rnacentral:rRNA from 1 species
GACGAGCUCUCCAAACGUUAUUCGGUAUCACUGGGCUUAAAGAGUUCGUAGGCGGUCUGGUAGGUGAGGUGUGAAAUCCCCCGGCUCAACCGGGGAACUGCGCUUCAAACCGCCGGACUUGAGGGAGACAGAGGUGGGCGGAACAGAUGGUGGAGCGGUGAAAUGCGUUGAUAUCAUCUGGAACACCGGUGGCGAAAGCGGCGUGCUGGACCUUUUCUGACGCUGAGGCGCGAAAGCUAGGGGAGCAAACGGGG